CACUCGCCAUGAAGAAAACAUUCACACCAGGUGGCUGAACAACACCUCCCACGUUAGUCUAAAAAAUUAACUCUUUGUGUUCCCAAACAUAAAAUAGGAGAUUUUUAGUACAUUUCCGUGUAUUGCGACCAUUAAAAAAUGUGACUCAAACCGUUUUAUGCGUUUGCAACAAAAACGAUAACAUUGGCCGCAUUGAUUAGGUUGAAUGGGUUUCGCAUCUUAACCCAAGAAACGAAAUUUUCGUGUGUGUUAAUUAUAAACAAAGAGUGUAUUAUAUUAUUUUCGUUUCAAGGCGUGGGAUAGGUUCGGAUGUCAAAAAAAUUUAAAUUAGUCCGCAAUUAUAGAAGAACAAGCAGCGCUUCGGGACGAAUGGGUAGGGCGAUUACAAAUGAUUAUUACGAUUUGGUAACUAUUAAUUAAAAUGGAGCAGAACACACACUCAAUUUCAGUUUUCGAAAAAAUAUCGCUAACAAUACAACUUAUUACAAUAAAAUUUCACUUUUUUCUGGUUUUCUACGUCUCGUACCGUUUCCCAAGAGCAUAUUUGCAUAUCGUUACAGAUGUUAAUAACAAAUUUGCGUAUCGCUCCCACUGUGUCAGAAAACUUCGAAAAUAGAAUUUAGUUUCAAACUGACAGCACGGACGGACGGACAGAUCUCUUUUAUCUUAAUUGUCGUUAUAUUUUGGAAUAUUCCCUGAUACAGUAUUUAUGAAAGGAAUUUUUCAAACACUUAUUGCAAGAGGGGCGCUGCCAUUUAUUUUCCUAGAUGAAGACGGAUAAUUUCGCCAAUUUGGCUCUUAAGAGAUUUAAGAAACCGCAAAACAAUAUGGCCUCUCAAUCAAUGACAUACUUUAUAA